rnacentral:rRNA from 1 species
CGGUGAAGCCAAGCUUGCUUGGUGGAUCAGUGGCGAACGGGUGAGUAACACGUGAGCAACCUGCCCUGGACUCUGGGAUAAGCGCUGGAAACGGCGUCUAAUACUGGAUAUGAGCUCUCAUCGCAUGGUGGGGGUUGGAAAGAUUUUUUGGUCUGGGAUGGGCUCGCGGCCUAUCAGCUUGUUGGUGAGGUAAUGGCUCACCAAGGCGUCGACGGGUAGCCGGCCUGAGAGGGUGACCGGCCACACUGGGACUGAGACACGGCCCAGACUCCUACGGGAGGCAGCAGUGGGGAAUAUUGCACAAUGGGCGAAAGCCUGAUGCAGCAACGCCGCGUGAGGGAUGACGGCCUUCGGGUUGUAAACCUCUUUUAGCAGGGAAGAAGCGAAAGUGACGGUACCUGCAGAAAAAGCGCCGGCUAACUACGUGCCAGCAGCCGCGGUAAUACGUAGGGCGCAAGCGUUAUCCGGAAUUAUUGGGCGUAAAGAGCUCGUAGGCGGUUUGUCGCGUCUGCUGUGAAAUCCCGAGGCUCAACCUCGGG